AGCGAAAGCGAGUCUUAACUGGGCGAUUAGUUAGUUGACGUAGACCCGAAACCGGGCGACCUAUCCAUGGGCAGGUUGAAGCGAAAGUAAAAUUUCGUGGAGGACCGAACCCACGAGCGUUGAAAAGCUCGGGGAUGACCUGUGGAUAGCGGUGAAAUUCCAAUCGAGCCCGGAGAUAGCUGGUUCUCUCCGAAAUAGCUUUAGGGCUAGCCUCAAGAUUGAGAGUAACGGGGGUAGAGCACUGAAUGUCCUAGGGGGUAUUGCACUUACCGAAGACUAUCAAACUCCGAAUACCGUAUACUUAUGCUUGGGAGUCAGACUAUGGGUGAUAAGAUUCAUAGUCAAAAGGGCAACAGCCCAGAUCGUCAGCUAAGGUCCCUAAAUGUACGUUAAGUGGUAAAGGAUGUGGGAUUGCACAGACAACCAGGAUGUUGGCUUAGAAGCAGCCACUCAUUUAAAGAGUGCGUAAUAGCUCACUGGUCGAGUGAUCCUGCGCCGAAAAUUUCCGGGGCUAAAACGUACUACCGAAGCUACGGCAUCAGUAAUGAUGGGUAGGAGAGCUUCCCAUACGGGUUGAAGCAUGACCGAAAGGACAUGUGGACUGUAUGGGAGUGAGAAUGUUGGCAUGAGUAGCGAGAUGUGGGUGAGAAUCCCACAGGCCGUAAACCCAAGGUUUCCAGGGGAAGGUUCGUCCGCCCUGGGUUAGUCAGGACCUAAGCCGAGGCCGAAAGGCGUAGGUGAUGGACAACAGGUUGAUAUUCCUGUACCACCAAUAACCGUUUGAGAAAUGGGAUGACACAGAAGGAUAAGCUAGCCGCACUGUUGGUUAUGUGCGGGCAAGUAUUGAGGCAGUUCUGGUAGGCAAAUCCGCCAGAAUAAUGCUAGGGUACGAUGCGGAGCGAAAUUUAGUAGCGAAGUAGCUGAUUUCACACUGUCGAGAAAAGUCUCUAUCGAGGUUAAAGGUGCCUGUACCGCAAACCGACACAGGUGGGUGAGGAGAGUAUCCUAAGGCCAGCCAGAGAACUGUUGUUAAGGAACUCGGCAAAAUGACCCCGUAACUUAGGGAGAAGGGGUGCCUUCGAAAGAAGGCCGCAGAGAAUAGGCCCAAGCGACUGUUUACCAAAAACAUAGGUUUCUGCUAAGUCGCAAGACGAUGUAUAGGAGCUGACGCCUGCCCGGUGCUGGAAGGUUAAGGGGAUCUGUUAGGGUAACCGAAGCAGUGAACUUAAGCCCCAGUAAACGGCGGCCGUAACUAUAACGGUCCUAAGGUAGCGAAAUUCCUUGUCGGGUAAGUUCCGACCCGCACGAAAGGCGUAACGAUUUGGGCACUGUCUCAACAACAGACUGGGUGAAAUUGUAAUACCGGUGAAGAUGCCGGUUACCUGCGACAGGACGGAAAGACCCCAUGGAGCUUUACUGUAGCUUGACAUUGAGUCUCGGUGCUACAUGUACAGGAUAGGUGGGAGGCUAUGAAGCAUGGACGUCAGUUUGUGUGGAGCCAUCCUUGGGAUACCACCCUUGUAGUACUGGGAUUCUAACCAGCUGCCUUGAAUCAGGUAGUGGGACACUGUCAGGUGGACAGUUUGACUGGGGCGGUCGCCUCCUAAAGAGUAACGGAGGCGCUCAAAGGUUCUCUCAGUACGGUCGGAAAUCGUACGUAGAGUGUAAAGGCAGAAGAGAGCUUGAUUGCAAGACAUACAGGUCGAGCAAGGACGAAAGUCGGACUUAGUGAUCCGGUGGUACCGCAUGGAAGGGCCAUCGCUCAACGGAUAAAAGCUACCCUGGGGAUAACAGGCUGAUCUCCCCCAAGAGUCCACAUCGACGGGGAGGUUUGGCACCUCGAUGUCGGCUCAUCACAUCCUGGGGCUGUAGUAGGUCCCAAGGGUUGGGCUGUUCGCCCAUUAAAGUGGUACGCGAGCUGGGUUCAGAACGUCGUGAGACAGUUCGGUCCCUAUCCGUCGCAGGCGUAGGAAAUUUGAGGAGACCUGUCCUUAGUACGAGAGGACCGGGAUGGACGUACCGCUGGUGUACCAGUUGUUCUGCCAAGGGCAUAGCUGGGUAGCUAAGUACGGAAAGGAUAAGCGCUGAAAGCAUCUAAGCGCGAAGCCUACUUCGAGAUAAGAUUUCCCACCGCAAGGUUAAGACCCCAUGAAGACUACAUGGUUGA
rnacentral:rRNA from 1 species